CUUCUUCGUAGAGUUUUGGGAAGACUGAGGCAAUCGCUGCUGAAGUCAAUAUUGUAAUGGUGAAUCGGGAUUUUUAAUGAAGUGGGUUUGAAUACUCUUGACUGUUUUGUGAAAUCGAGUUACGUCUUUGAUUGAAGGAUUAAAAGGGUGUCUAUAGGAUUGAGUAUGCGGAGUGAAUGAAAUUUAUUGGGUUAAUCUAACAAGACAGUCAGUGGA
rnacentral:lncRNA from 1 species